AUUGAACGCUGGCGGCAGGCCUAACACAUGCAAGUCGAACGAUCACAUGAAGAAGCUUGCUUCUUUGCUGACGAGUGGGGGGCGGGUGGGUAAUUUCUGCGAAACUGCCUGAUGGAGGGGGUUAACUACUGGAAACGGUCCCUAAUACCGCAUAACGUUCCCAAGCCAAACAGGGGGACCUUCAGUCCCCUUUCCAUCGGGUGAGGCCAGAUGUGGUUAACUAGCAGGUGGGGUUACGGGUCAACUAGGAGACGCACCCUAGCUGGUCUGAGAGGAUGACCAGGCACACGGGAACUGAGACACGGUCCAGACUCCGACGGGAGGCAGCAGUGGGGAAUAUUGCAGAAGGGGGGAGAGCCUGAUGCAGCCAUGCCGCGGGUAUGAUGAAGGCCUUCGGGUUGUAAAAUACUGUCAGCGGGGAGGAAGGAAGUAAAGUUAAUACCGGUGCUCAUUGACGUUACCCGCAGAAGAAGCACCGGCUAACUCCGUG
rnacentral:rRNA from 1 species